CUUAAGGAGGGGCCUGCGGCGCAUUAGCUAGUUGGUGAGGUAACGGCUCACCAAGGCGACGAUCAGUAGCCGACCUGAGAGGGGGAACGGCCACACUGGAACGAGACACGUUCCAGACUCCUACGGGUGGCAGCAGUAGGGAAUAUUGCACAAUGGGCGCAAGCCUGAUGCAGCAACGCCGCGUGAGUGAUGAAGGCCUUCGGGUCGUAAAACUCUGUCCUAAGGGAAGAAGAAGUGACGGUACCUUAGGAGGAAGCCCCGGCUAACUACGUGCCAGCAGCCGCGGUAAUACGUAGGGGGCAAGCGUUAUCCGGAAUCACUGGGCGUAAAGGGUGCGUAGGCGGCCUGUUAAGUCUGGAGUGAAAGUCCUGCUUUCAAGGUGGGAAUUGCUUUGGAAACUGGUCAGCUUGAGUGCAGGAGAGGAAAGUGGAAUUCCCAGUGUAGCGGUGAAAUGCGUAGAUAUUAGGAGGAACACCAGUGGCGAAGGCGACUUUCUGGACUGUAACUGACGCUGAGGCGCGAAAGCGUGGGGAGCAAACAGGAUUAGAUACCCUGGUAGUCCACGCUGUAAACGAUGGAUACUAGGUGUGGGAGGUAUCGACCCCUUCCGUGCCGCAGUUAACGCAAUAAGUAUUCCACCUGGGGAGUACGGCCGCAAGGUUGAAACUCAAAGGAAUUGACGGGGGCCCGCACAAGCAGCGGAGCAUGUGGUUUAAUUCGAAGCAACGCGAAGAACCUUACCCGGGCUCGAACGUAUAGAGCGACAGAUUGUGAAAGCAGUCCUUCUUCGGACGAUCUACAAGGUGCUGCAUGGUUGUCGUCAGCUCGUGCCGUGAGGUGUCGGGUUAAGUCCCAUAACGAGCGCAACCCUUAUCGUUAGUUGCCAGCGGGUCAUGCCGGGGACUCUAGCGAGACUGCCACCGUAAGGUGUGAGGAAGGGGGGGAUGACGUCAAAUCAGCACGGCCCUUACGUCCGGGGCGACACACGUGUUACAAUGGUAGGUACAGAGGGGCGCUAUCCAGCGAUGGAGUGCGAAUCUCAAAAACCUAUCUCAGUUCGGAUCGAAGUCUGCAACUCGACUCCGUGAAGCUGGAUUCGCUAGUUAUCGCGCAUCAGCCAUGGCGCGGUGAAUACGUUCCCGGGCCUUGUACACACCGCCCGUCA
rnacentral:rRNA from 1 species